GAAAUGCGAUAAGUAAUGUGAAUUGCAGAAUUCAGUGAAUCAUCGAAUCUUUGAACGCACCUUGCGCUCCUUGGUAUUCCUUGGAACAUGUCUGUUUGAGUAUCAUGAAAUCUUCAAAGUAAAUCUUUUGUUAACUCAAUUGGUUUCUACUUUGGUAUUGGAGGUCUUUGCAGCUUCACACCUGCUCCUCUUUGUUCAUUAGCUGGAUCUCAGUGUUAUGCUUGGUUCCACUCGGCGUGAUAAGUUAUCUAUCGCUGAGGACACUGUAAAAGGUGGCCAAGGUAAAUGCAGAUGAACCGCUUCUAAUAGUCCAUUGACUUGGACAAUACUUUUAUGAUCUGAUCUCAAAUCAGGUAGGACUACCCGCUGAACUUAAGC
rnacentral:misc_RNA from 1 species